rnacentral:rRNA from 1 species
CCUACGGGAUGCAGCAGUGAGGAAUAUUGGUCAAUGGGCGUAAGCCUGAACCAGCCAAGUCGCGUGAGGGAUGAAGGUUCUAUGGAUCGUAAACCUCUUUUAUAAGGGAAUAAAGUGUGGUACGUGUCCUAUUUUGUAUGUACCUUAUGAAUAAGGAUCGGCUAACUCCGUGCCAGCAGCCGCGGUAAUACGGAGGAUCCGAGCGUUAUCCGGAUUUAUUGGGUUUAAAGGGUGCGUAGGCGGCCUUUUAAGUCAGCGUUGGAAGUCUGUGGCUCAACCAUAGAAUUGCCGUUGAAAAUGGGGGGCUUGGGGAUGUUUGGGGCAGGGGGGAAGCGUGGUGGAGGGGUGAA